CAGGCCAGCUGACAGUUUUGUCUGGGCCCGGGACAAGAUAAUGUUGGAUGGGCCCUCCCCUCCACCACCACCGGGGGAAAUCUUAGCUCUCCAUGGCAGCUGAGAUUUUAGUUAAAUAUGACAUUUAUAUACUUGUCACAAAGGACCUGCUAAUAUUAUUAAGAGUUGUGCAUGCACAUUUUCUAAUUCUUAUACAUGCAGGAAAAAUAGACCAGG